GACGAGGGACCUAGCGUUGUUCGGAAUCAUUGGGCGUAAAGCGGGUGUAGGUGGCCUGGUAAGUCGGGUGUGAAAGCCCAGGGCUCAACCCUGGAAGUGCAUUCGAUACUGCUGAGCUUGAGUGUUGGAGAGAUCAUCGGAAUACCUGGUGUAGUGGUGAAAUACGUAGAUAUCAGGUGGAACACCGGAGGCGAAGGCGGGUGAUUGGCCAAACACUGACACUGAGACCCGAAAGUGUGGGGAUCAAACAGG
rnacentral:rRNA from 1 species